GGCCAUAGUUAGAGCGGCAGUUAAGGUGGUUUUGCCGUGGUCGACAUGGCCGAUGGUCCCGAUGUUAACGUGGGGCUUUUUGCGUUCGAAUUUCCCACGGGCAGCUUUGACGGUGAAAGAAUCGCGACGGCGAGGGAAUACGUAAGUGGUGGCAACGGUAGUGAGGAAAGGAGGGAGGAAGGGAGAGGAGAGGUGGGUAGGGGUUAGUUUAGAGGGAAUUGAGGAGAAAAAGGCAGAGGUGGUGGUUGAGGAGUGAGUUGGGAAAGGGGAGGCGUGUGGGUAUCUAAGCUUAGAAGAAGCGGCAGUGGCUGCUGCUGUUGAUGAAAUUGCCAUUUCCUUGUAGAGGAGAG
rnacentral:lncRNA from 1 species